UACGUAGGGUGCAAGCGUUGUCCGGAAUUAUUGGGCGUAAAGAGCUCGUAGGCGGUUCGUCGCGUCGGCUGUGAAAUCCCGGAGCUCAACUCCGGAUCUGCGGUGGGUACGGGCAGACUAGAGUGAUGUAGGGGAGACUGGAAUUCCUGGUGUAGCGGUGAAAUGCGCAGAUAUCAGGAGGAACACCGAUGGCGAAGGCAGGUCUCUGGGCAUUAACUGACGCUGAGGAGCGAAAGCAUGGGGAGCGAACAGG
rnacentral:rRNA from 1 species